rnacentral:rRNA from 1 species
UGGGGAAUUUUGGACAAUGGGCGAAAGCCUGAUCCAGCAAUGCCGCGUGUGUGAAGAAGGCCUUCGGGUUGUAAAGCACUUUUGUCCGGAAAGAAAUCCUUGGCUCUAAUACAGUCGGGGGAUGACGGUACCGGAAGAAUAAGCACCGGCUAACUACGUGCCAGCAGCCGCGGUAAUACGUAGGGUGCAAGCGUUAAUCGGAAUUACUGGGCGUAAAGCGUGCGCAGGCGGUUUGCUAAGACCGAUGUGAAAUCCCCGGGCUCAACCUGGGAACUGCAUUGGUGACUGGCAGGCUAGAGUAUGGCAGAGGGGGGUAGAAUUCCACGUGUAGCAGUGAAAUGCGUAGAGAUGUGGAGGAAUACCGAUGGCGAAGGCAGCCCCCUGGGCCAAUACUGACGCUCAUGCACGAAAGCGUGGGGAGCAAACAGGAUUAGAUACCCUGGUAGUCCACGCCCUAAACGAUGUCAACUAGUUGUUGGGGAUUCAUUUCCUAGUAACGUAGCUAACGCGUGAAGUUGACCGCCUGGGGAGUACGGUCGCAAGAUUAAACUCAAGGAAUUGACGGGGUCAUAGCUGUUUCCU